rnacentral:tRNA from 1 species
GGAGAGGUGCCAGAGUGGUUGAUCGGGGCGGUCUCGAAAACCGUUGUACGCUAGUAGCGUACCGAGGGUUCAAAUCCCUCUCUCUCCGCCA